UAAUACGUAGGUGGCAAGCGUUGUCCGGAUUUAUUGGGUUUAAAGGGUGCGUAGGCGGUGACCUAAGUCAGUUGUGAAAUACGAUAGCUUAACUAUCGAGGUGCAAUUGAUACUGGGUUACUUGAGUACUGAUGAGGUAGGCGGAAUGGACGGUGUAGCGGUGAAAUGCUUAGAUAUCGUCCAGAACACCGAUAGCGAAGGCAGCUUACUAAGGAGUAACUGACGCUGAGGCACGAAAGUGUGGGGAUCAAACAGGAUUAGAUACCCUGGUAGUCCACACUGUAAACGAUGAUCACUCGAUGUUGGCGAUACACAGCCAGCGUCUUAGCAAAAGCGAUAAGUGAUCCACCUGGGGAGUACGCCGGCAACGGUG
rnacentral:rRNA from 1 species